GCAUCCAAAGACCACAAUAGUCAUCGGUGUACUGCCACAGGAGGAGUUAUUUUACAGAGCAACCUGUUUUCUUCCUCGCAGGUUUAACGUAGGUUAUUUAAUUGUGUUACUAUCUUUUCUAAAUUUAAAAUCUAGAACUCCGCAUGUGUUAGUAAUAGUGUGGACCUUAUUAGGAAUCGUGUUAAUUUAAAUUUUUCAGAUUAAUAAAUGAAGAUUUGUAUGGUAUUUAAACAGUUUGUGAAAUGAGGUAACAGGGUUGAGCCGGGCUCCCCUAAUUUUAGUCUCUGAUGAUUUCUGGGCUAAGAUGGCCCGAAAUAAAAUUAUAACAGUUUAAUUUAAA